GGAAGGAUCAUUAACGGAUAGUUUUGUUUUCACAACAAAACGCAUAUAUCCAAACAUAAUUUGCUUUGAACGCAAAUUGCCCGUUAUCAAUUGAAAAUGGGCUUACCAAUAAGCGACAUGCUUGUGUUGUUGGUGCUUACGUGUGUGAUAUACCUAUCCAUACGGUGGUCUGUGUUGUGUCUGUGUUUUGUGUUGAUUGAAAAGCAUUUGCAUCGAAAGCUUGCUGUUGCUGUCAUAUUCUCUCUCCACACUAUGCCACGCAUACGCAUUCUCCAAUUUGACUCUGUGACCGGUAUUUGUAUUUGUAUUUUGCAAACAGAUUUUUUCCCUAUCUAGCAUAGGGUAAUAGUGCACUCACAAGUCGUGGGCAAUCAAUCUGGCAUGAAGGAAAAGUGCUGAUUGGACUUACGUGUGUGCGUACUGUUAAAUUUGUUUGCUUACAAUGCAUACUCUCUGUUGUCUACAGCCAGUCUUGUAAUUGUGUUUGAAUGCUGUUAUGCUGUGUGUUUUGGUGUGAGUUCGGUUUAUGCGGUAACUUCGACUCGGAGCUGGCAUUUGCGAUUUAACAACAUUAGCCAACACACACACACACCACCAGUGAUAAUAAUCAUUACGCGCUAUCAUCGAUGCAAGUUGAAUGCACUUAUAUGGAAGCUCUCCUUGCUAACCUGAUUUUGGUGCCUAGUCUGCUGUUCCUGCCAUUUAUUUGGCGUGGAUGCGGGGUGUCGUUGCUUGUCAACGCUGCUAGGCUUAAAUAUCUGCCAGUGUACUGAGUCGAAGCCUCAGGUGCAAGGUCGAACCAAUAUUAUAUGAGACAAAAAACAUUGUCUUUGUGCAAUGUUUUUUAUCAUAUAAACCCCUUUGUUUUUACCUAAAAACAACUUUAAGCCAAAAUCAAAAUGAUUUAUCAUGUAGCAUUAGCCUUUGCCGGUUAAAAGCUAUUAAAAAGACAGUAACAACUGUUAGUGGUGGAUCACUCGGCUCGCUGGUCGAGGAAGAACGCAGCUAGCUGCGUUAAUCGGUGUAAAAUGCAGGACACGCCGAGCACUCGACAUUCGAACGCACAUUGCAGCCUUGGUCAUCCCUUGGCUUCGUUUGUCUGAGCGUCGUUAAUAAGCCAAAAACUAUCAAAAGAUCAGUAUCACGUCGUAUUGGCCAUUCUAGUUGUCAAUUCGUCUGAUCAAUUUAAACACAAAAUUUUGCUUGUCAUUUUGAAACGCCCGUACGCGUAAAAAGUUUACACUUGGUUAUGCGUGUUCCAGCAAUGGAAAUGUAGGGCUUUUGGCAAUACAAGCCAAUAAGCCUGAGCAGUAACCACUACAAGUGUCUUUUACAUUUCAUGCGAAUGUGGAAUCAUCGUUUCAUACAAAUGAAAUCAAGUCAAGGUGUUUGGAAUUUACUUUUGUUGUUUAUAGUUUAAUCGCGCUCGCGCGUUUACUCUACUAACUUGUUAACUCUCGACCUCAGAUCAAGCGAGAUUACCCGCUGAAUUUAAGCAUAUAACUAAGCGGAGGAAAAGAAACCAAAUGGGAUUCCCCUAGUAACGGCGAGUGAACAGGGAACAGCUCAGCGCCAAGUCCUGACACUUGACGUGCUCAGGAGAUGCGGCGUUAGUGUAUUGGUGCAUCGUGCACUGUUUCGUAUCUCAAGUUCCUUUGACAGGGACUCCCAGAGUGGGUGCUAGGCCCAUAGAGAUUGCGAGACUGGUGUACGCAAACCAAUGCAUUUUAGAGUCAGGUUGCUUGAGAGUGCAGCCUAAAGCAGGUGGUAAACUCCAUCUAAAGCUAAAUAUUACAGCGAGACCGAUAGCAAACAAGUACCGUGAGGGAAAGUUGCAAAGAACUUUGAAGAGAGAGUUCAAAAGGACGUGAAACCACUAACAGGCAAACGGGUGGAACCACGAAGUGUGCCUGGAAGGCGAUUCAGUUAUCAUCAUUAGUUGGCUGUGUUUGUAUUGUGUCGGUCUUUUCAGGCUGUACAAAUGUGGUUUACAAUUGGUGAUGGUAAUGCAUUUCGUCCUUCCAGUGCUAAAGCCACGUCCGAUUAGGUGGCUGGAACGGCCGUAGAGGGUGUCUCAAGGAAGGUGGCCGUCAAGUGCUUGCAUUUGGCGGUGUUAUAGCUUUGAGGCCGUGCCGUUACCUAGCGUGCUGAUCGGUGCAAGUUCUCCUUUUGGAGUUUUGCUAGUAAUGGGCUGGCGCGCUUGUAGUGUCUUGGUUAGCGCGUUAGUUUGGCCUUUCGUUCCUUCGGGUUCGCAAAGACAGAUUAGCGUCGUUGGCCAAUGUGCUGCUUGCGUGGUUGGCUUGUGCAAACGGUGGUGCGAGUAGGUCGGUCUCCACCCGACCCGUCUUGAAACACGGACCAAGGAGCCUAACAUAUACGCAAGUCGCUCGGUCUUGUUUAGGCCUGAGAGGCGCAAUGAAAGUAACUUGCUACGAGGCUGGGAGCAUUCGUGCAACCAGUCGCAGUAGCGGCCCGCCUCCUUCCUUAUUGGGGAUAUGGCGGAGUCGGAGCGUAUACGUUGGUACCCGAAAGAUGGUGAACUAUGCCUGGGCAAGACGAAGCCAGAGGAAACUCUGGUGGAGGUCUGUAGCGAUUCUGACGUGCAAAUCGAUCGUCAGACCUGGGUAUAGGGGCGAAAGACUAAUCGAACCAUCUAGUAGCUGGUUCCCUC
rnacentral:misc_RNA from 1 species